GCCGAAGUGGCGAAACUGGCUAUACGCACUAGCUUUAGGAGCUAGCGGGGAAACCCAUGAGAGUUCGAAUCUCUCCUUCGGCA
rnacentral:tRNA from 1 species